rnacentral:rRNA from 1 species
AUGUUAAGCGUGCACUCGCCCCGACCCCUGAGGGAUUGCGGCGGCGCCGGCGAGGGGGCGGACAGUGGCAGGGAGCUCCGCCGAGAGAACAAGGUGGCCGCGCGGGCGCGCGCCAAGGGCAAGCGGCGCGAGACGGAGAGCGCCAGGAGGAAGAGGGAGGAGCAGGAGCGGCUCGACGCCGAGGAGGCCGACUACCGCCGUUCCUGGGAGCAAGGCAAUGAACUCUUCUACAACAGAAGAUAUCAGGAAGCAGCAGCUCACUAUACCGAAGCUCUGGAAAAGAAUCCGAAUGAACCCGCAGUUUUCAGAAACAGAGCUCAGUGUUACAUCUUUCUGGGAGCUCUUCCCGAAGGUCUGGAAGAUGCAAAAAAAUGUAUUGAGCUGGAUCCUACUUAUCUGAUGGGUUACGUGUGUAAAGCGAAGGUUCAAGCACUGAUGCAGAAUUAUGAAAGUGCUAUGGCAACAUACAUAGAGGGUUUGAAGUGUGAUCCAAAUAGUACUAUUGUAAUUGAUGGCUUUAAGAGAUGUAAGACAUGCAUUGAGAGGUCUAAAGGUGGUGACGUUGGGCCUGAGGAUUUAGAAGACAUUUUGAGAGAUUGGCAUUCAGACAUUUGUUUGUCUAAUGAACUUAAAAAGUACAUGGAAGAAGUUGCAGUAUUCAAGAAAGAAGCUUCUGAUGAGCGCUUGAGGCGGAUUGAAUCUGAACAAACAGCUAGGACAUCCGAGGCAAACCAGGUGCAACGACAGAAAGAAACUGAGGAGCAUCUGUCCAAAAUACAACAAGAGUUGCAACAAGUCAAAGCUCGACAGGAUGAGGUUGCUAAUCAGCUACAGAAAGCUAAUAAGGAUAAUGAACAUGCUCAAAAUCAGCUUUUGGAAUCGAAAAAGUUCCAUAGUGAGGAACUUCAGAAGGUAAAUGAGCAUAGUUUGAAUCUGCAACAUCAGCUCACUGAAUCCAAAGAGCGGUAUAAUCAGCUUCAGUCCAAGCAUGACGUCUUGCUAAAGGAACGAGAUACUGCACUCAAAGAGGUAGAAAAGUUACGCCGGAGAAGUACGGCGAUGCCCUGCGUGUUUUCAUUAGCUGAACUAGAACGUGCAACAGAAAAUUUCAGUACUUCAAUGAAGUUCAGAGAAUGUGGGGUUGCCUCUGUGUACCGAGGUGUCCUCCGGAACAUGAAAGUUGCAAUAAAGGUGCUGAGACACGAUGGUCAAGGACGCUCACAGUUUAAACAAGAGGUUGCUAUCCAUAGCAGAGUGAGACACCCCAACCUUGCAACUCUUCUAGGAGCAUGCAAAGAGUCAUCGAUGCUUGUCUACGAGUCCUUGCCAAAUGGUAGCCUUGAAGAUUUUCUUUCAUGUGAGGAUAAGAGGCAAACUCUGACCUGGCAGAUUCGCAUCCGUAUUAUUGCAGAGAUAUGUUCAGCUUUGAUCUUUCUGCAUGAGAACAAACCUGACCCAAUUGUUCAUGGUGAUCUUGAGCCUGCCAACAUUUUCCUUGAUGCUAACUUUGUCAGUAAGCUUAGUGAUUUUGGCAUUUCUCAUCUGCCAAUCCAGUCCAACAGCAAAAGCACCAAGCAUCCCGUGGAUGACCCUACAUACAAGGACCCAGAAUGUCUUGCCACUCAGAAGAUGACACCUCACUCUGAUGUUUAUUCUUUUGGAAUGGUAGUCUUGCGUCUGUUAACUGGAAAGCCACCUGUCGGUAUAAAGAAGAUUGUGGAGGAUGCGAUGCAGCAAGGUGACCUAAACUCUAUAGUUGAUUCCUCGGCCGGUGACUGGCCUGUUGGGCACAUCCAACAGUUAGCAGACCUUGCUCUCAUUUGCACUGAGCAAAGCAGCAGGUCUCGUCCUGUUCUUUCAGGCCAGCUCUGGACAGCGGUUGAGAACAUGAGGGAUGGUGCAAUGUUACCUUCACCUUCAUUUUCGAGUUCGGUGAGAGAUGAAAGCAUCAUACCGUCACACUUCACUUGUGCUAUAUCUCAUGAAAUCAUGAAGGAUCCUCACUUCGCAGAAGAUGGAUUCACCUAUGAAGGUGAUUUAAUCCGGAAAUGGCUUCAAAAUAAUAACAGAUCGCCGAUGACCAACAAACCACUUCAACACCGGAAGGUCAUCCCCAAUAUCAGUCUCCGUUCUGCCAUUCAGGAAUGGCUCCAACAGCACAGCACGCUUCUGCAAUGA